rnacentral:tRNA from 1 species
GCAUUGGUGGUUCAGUGAUAGAAUUCUUGCCUACUAUGCGGAAGGCUCAGGUUUGAUUCCCAGCCAAUGCA